rfam:Natranaerobius trueperi strain DSM 18760 ZB100018, whole genome shotgun sequence.
UAAGCAUGGUCGAGAGGCUAUGUUGAACAGCAGACGUCAUAGUACUUGGUAGCUUAAGAUAUAAAGGAAGGAC